CGUACUCUGGGCCGGCGGCCUAGUUAAGACGGAUGAUCCCAGCGUUAUCCGGUAUCAUUGGGUUUAAAGGGUCCGUAGGCGGCCAUAUAAGUCAGCUGUGAAAGUUUUUUGCUUAACCAAAAAAUUGCCAUUGAUACUGCAGGGCUUGAAUCUUUGUAAAGGAACUAGAAUAUGUAGUGUAGCGGUGAAAUGCGUAGAUAUUACAUGGAAUACCAAUUGCGAAGGCAGGUUACUAACAAAUGAUUGACGCUGAUGGACGAAAGCGUGGGUAGCGAACAGGAUUAGAUACCCCGGUAGUC
rnacentral:rRNA from 1 species